rnacentral:lncRNA from 1 species
UUUUUUUUUUUUUUUCCUCCCUCUUGUUUCUCUGCAAUCUAUUGUCUACACUGAAGCCAGAGUUAUCGUUUUUAAAAAAAUAAAAGUCAUCCUCAUGAUCAAAUGUUCUCAAUGGCUUUCUAACACACAGGGUAAAAUUCAGAUCCUUUUCAAUAACCUGAAUGAUAUGAGAAGGCAUCUGGCCACCCUCCUGCUCUUCCUCGCCUCCUACUCUUUUUCCUUCCUGCUUAUGCUCCUUCAGUUACGCAGGUCUUCUUAUUCUUCAAACAUCUGCAUUUGCUAUUUCCAUGCCUUGUGAUCCUCUUCACCAAGACAGUCAUAUGACUACUUUCCUUAUUUCAUUCUAGUGUAUAAUAAAAGGUCCCCUUUCAAAGAAGCGUCUCGUAUUUUUUUCUAAUAUAAUUUCCUAUUAAUUUCUAGCACGCUUUUCCCCAUUUCCCUGAUAUGCUUUUCCUGAUAGGUAUUAUAUUAUACUCACAUCAUAGUAUUUCUUUCUUCUUUGUUAUUGAUCUUCCCCAAUAGAAAUUAUAUUCUAGGAGGAUAAGAAUUCUAUUUUGUUUACACUCGCCCAUAAAGCCUGACAUAUAGUUGGCACUCAACAAAGGGUUGCUGAAUAAAAGAAUAAAUUAAAGACUACUAGAUUGAAAUACCAGAAAAUGAUCAUAACACUUGUCCUAAUUCUUUGCCUCACAUCAAGAAGUGCUAAAAUGAGAUGUUUAGGAAACCAACAAAGAUUACUUAAAAUAUUUUAUUAAACGUACUCUUCUAGAAGCAGAAGAGAUUAUUAAAAAUUUUUUUUCUAUACAUUAUUUAUCUUGCCCACAUUUACUCUGACAGAAAAAUGGAUUCUAACGUAUAUAUAAGCUCUAGGAAAAGUCAAAAACAGGUCCUUUAUAUGCUUGCUAGUUUUAAAAUACAGUCUGAUUUCAUCCACUUCAAUUGAAUAUGCAACUACCACUUCCUGGUACUCUGCUGAAACCUGUGAAAGAUAACAAAAUGAAUCACAAUAACUAAUGUUUGUAGAACAACUUAACUUAUGCCAGGGAAUGUGCUAAAAGCUUUGCAGGCACUGUAUCAUUUACAUUCCGGUGACAACUCCAUGAGGUAUAAGGAUCCCUAUUUCAGAGAAGAGAAAACUAAGUGAAUCAGGCAACUUGUCCUACACCAGACAGCUGUUAAGUGGAGCUGAAACUCGCAGCCUUGCCUUUCUGAUGGCUAUGUUGGUCAUUUUUAGUAUAGAACUUACUGCCACUAGCAGGACUCAAGAACACUCCUGGUGCACCCUGAUGACUCAGUUCAUCCAAAUAUGUAAAUCUUCUGCUGUGUCCUUAGGGAAUAACAACGUUGAAGGCGAUUAAGCUAUGUCUAGAGUAUCUUUACCAGUAGAUUAUUGAAAAGUUAUUGAAUUACUAAAAUUUAUUUUUCAUAAACUAAAAUUAGUACUUAAUAGAGUUUACUGAGAAUUCUAAUUCAAUAUCCUAAUGAGAAAGCUGGCUGCUACCCAACACCUGAGAGCAAUGUAAAUAGCACCCUGUGCAAAGAGCACAUGCAAACAGGCAGAACUGCCAAAAUCCUGGGCACAGAUGAAAGUGUAAGUGGUUUUCAAGUACUAUUUCAAGUAACAUUAUUCUUACUCUAAAUAACAAAUUCCUGUUUAUUUAGACUUCAUUAUUGUCAAUUUAACUUGUAAAAGUUUCUUUGCUUAACACUAUCACAUGUAAUGGUGAUUCUCAGAACUAUUUGUGAUAAUCUGAAUCAGAACUAUUUGUGAUCUAAAAUUGUAUUAUGGAUAUAUUUUAAGACAGCUACACAUAGCAAACAAUAUGAAUCAUCCAUAGUCCUGCUACAAAGCAAAUAUAUACAUAUAUCACACCCUGCUUGAAUUUUCCUAGGUAGUGAUUUUUUUUUGUUAUCAAGAGU